AUGCCGGAUGCUCCGACUCCUCGCAUGGGGUGUCGGGAAAGAUUUCAUCGGUAUGGGAUGGGGUCGCGUCCUAUCAGGUAGUCGGCGGGGUAACGGCCCACCGAGCCUACGACGGGUAGCCGGCCUGAGAGGGCGACCGGCCACAUUGGGACUGAGAUACGGCCCAGACUCCUACGGGAGGCAGCAGUGGGGAAUAUUGCACAAUGGGCGCAAGCCUGAUGCAGCGACGCCGCGUGCGGGAUGACGGCCUUCGGGUUGUAAACCGCUUUUGAUCGGGAGCAAGCCUUCGGGUGAGUGUACCUUUCGAAUAAGCACCGGCUAACUACGUGCCAGCAGCCGCGGUAAUACGUAGGGUGCAAGCGUUAUCCGGAAUUAUUGGGCGUAAAGGGCUCGUAGGCGGUUCGUCGCGUCCGGUGUGAAAGUCCAUCGCUUAACGGUGGAUCUGCGCCGGGUACGGGCGGGCUGGAGUGCGGUAGGGGAGACUGGAAUUCCCGGUGUAACGGUGGAAUGUGUAGAUAUCGGAAA
rnacentral:rRNA from 1 species